UACGUAGGUGGCGAGCGUUUGUCCGGAUUUACUGGGCGUAAAGCGCGCGCAGGCGGUUCUGUAAGUCCUGGGUGAAAUCGCCCGGCUCAACUGGGCGGGGGCCUGGGGGACUGCGGGACUGGAGGGGCCUAGAGGCCGGUGGAACUCCCGGUGUAGUGGUGAAAUGCGUAGAGAUCGGGAAGAACACCAGUGGCGAAGGCGGCCGGCUGGGGGCGCCCUGACGCUGAGGCGGCGAGAGCGU
rnacentral:rRNA from 1 species